rnacentral:rRNA from 2 species
ACGGGAGGCAGCAGUAGGGAAUUUUCGGCAAUGGGCGAAAGCCUGACCGAGCAAUGGUGCGUGGACGAUGAAGGCCUUCGGGUCGUAAAGUCCUUUUAUUUGGGAAGAACAUCCCCGGCCAAUACCCGGGGACUGACGGUACCUUUUGAAUAAGCUCCGGCCAACUAUGUGCCAGCAGCCGCGGUAAUACAUAGGGAGCGAGCGUUAUCCGGAAUUAUUGGGCGUAAAGAGUGCGUAGGCGGCUCGUUAUGUCGGUGGUGAAAUGCUGUGGCUCAACCCACAGUCUGCCUCCGAAACUGGCGAGCUGGAGUACGGUAGAGGCAAGUGGAAUUCCAUGUGUAGCGGUAAAAUGCGUAGAUAUAUGGAGGAACACCAGAGGCGAAGGCGGCUUGCUAGGCCGGUACUGACGCUGAUGCACGAAAGCGUGGGUAGCAAACAGGAUUAGAUACCCUGGUA